rnacentral:rRNA from 1 species
GAUGAACGCUGGCGGCGUGCUUAACACAUGCAAGUCGAACGACUAAAGCCCCUUCGGGGGUGUAUAGAGUGACGAACGGGUGAGUAACACGUGGGCAACCUGCCCCUCACUUCGGGAUACCUCAGGGAAACCUGAGCUAAUACCGGAUACUCCGGGAUGGUCGCAUGGCCGACCCGGGAAAGCUCCGACGGUGAGGGAUGGGCCCGCGGCCCAUUAGCUUGUUGGUGAGGUAACGGCUCACCAAGGCGACGAUGGGUAGCCGAGCUGAGAGGCUAAUCGGCCACACUGGGACUGAGACACGGCCCAGACUCCUACGGGAGGCAGCAGUGGGGAAUCUUGCGCAAUGGGCGAAAGCCUGACGCAGCAACGCCGCGUGCGGGAUGAAGGCCUUCGGGUUGUAAACCGCUUUCAGCAGGGACGAAAAUGACUGUACCUGCAGAAGAAGCCCCGGCUAACUACGUGCCAGCCGCCGCCGUAACAC